rnacentral:rRNA from 1 species
GAAAGGCUCAUUACAUCAGUUGUGGUUCCUUGGACUGUACCCAGUUACUUGGAUAACUGCGGAAAAUCUGGAGCUAAUACAUGCCGACAGAGUCCCGACCAGAGAUGGGAGGGACGCUUUUAUUAGAUCAAAACCAAAAAUCCCCCUCCGGGGGGAAACGGUUUAAGGUGACUCUGAAUAACUUUGUGCUGAUCGCACGGCCCCCGCGCCGGCGACGCGUCUUUCAAAUGUCUGCCUUAUCAACUUUCGAUGGUAGGCUCUGCGCCUACCAUGGUUGUAACGGGUGACGGGGAAUCAGGGUUCGAUUCCGGAGAGGGAGCCUGAGAAACGGCUACCACAUCCAAGGAAGGCAGCAGGCGCGCAAAUUACCCACUCCCGGCUCGGGGAGGUAGUGACGAAAGAUAACGAUGCAGGACUCUUAUGAGGCCCUGUAAUUGGAAUGACUACAUUUUAAAUCUCUUAAGGAGUAUCAAUUGGAGGGCAAGUCUGGUGCCAGCAGCCGCGGUAAUUCCAGCUCCAAUAGCGUAUAUUAAAGCUGUUGCGGUUAAAAAGCUCGUAGUUGGAUCUGUGUCCCGCACCGCCGGUGCCCUAGAUCAGGUGCCACUGGUCGGGUGGCGGGACGUCCUGCCGGUGGGAGGUCUGCCGACGGUCGCCUCAACGCCUGUUCGUUCUCUCGUAGACGACAGUGCGCGGCUCCGGUGCGUGCGCUCCCGGUUCCGAUCCUGCCGAAGGUGCUCUUCACCGAGUGACGAGGCAGGCCGGCAUGUUUACUUUGAACAAAUUAGAGUGCUUAAAGCAGGCUGUCGACGCCUGAAUGCUGUGUGCAUGGAAUAAUGGAAUAGGACCUCGGUUCUAUUUUCUUUUGGUUUUCUGGACCAGAGGUAAUGAUUAACGGAGACAGGCGGGGGCAUUCGUAUUGCGACGUUAGAGGUGAAAUUCUUGGAUCGUCGCAAGACGAACAGAAGCGAAAGCAUUUGCCAAGGAUGUUCUCGUUGAUCAAGAACGAAAGUCAGAGGUUCGAAGGCGAUCAGAUACCGCCCUAAUUCUGACCGUAAACGCUGCCAUCUGGUUAUUCGCCCACGUUACCACUUAUAUGACUGGGCGAGCAACCCUCGGGAAACCAAAGAUUUUGGGUUCCGGGGGAAGUAUGGUUGCAAAGCUGAAACUUAAAGGAAUUGACGGAAGGGCACCACCAGGAGUGGAGCCUGCGGCUUAAUUUGACUCAACACGGGAAACCUCACCAGGCCCGGACACUGGAAGGAUUGACAGAUUGAUAGCUCUUUCUUGAUUCAGUGGGUGGUGGUGCAUGGCCGUUCUUAGUUGGUGGAGCGAUUUGUCUGGUUAAUUCCGAUAACGAACGAGACUCUAGCCUGCUAACUAGUCGAUGAUUUAUCAUUCUUGCAUCCUUUAUGGCUGCUCGCGAACAUUACUCUUCUUAGAGGGACAGGCGGCGCCUAGCCGCACGAGAUUGAGCAAUAACAGGUCUGUGAUGCCCUUAGAUGUUCUGGGCCGCACGCGCGCUACAAUGAAGGUAUCAACGUGUCUCCCUUGGCCGAGAGGUCCGGGUAACCCGCUGAACCACCUUCGUGCUUGGGACUGGGGCUUGAAAUUGUUCCCCAUGAACGAGGAAUUCCCAGUAAAGGCGUGUCACUAGCACGCCUUGAUUACGUCCCUGCCCUUUGUACACACCGCCCGUCGCUACUACCGAUUGAAUGAAUUAGUGAGGUCUUCGGACCAGCGCGCGGUUCUCGUCCUUUGGACUCCCGUCGCUGCAGGGAAGAUGAUCGAACUUGUUCAUUUAGAGGAAGUAAAAGUCGUAACAAGGUUUCCGUAGGUGAACC